rnacentral:rRNA from 1 species
CAUGUAGGCGGAUUAAUAAGUUUGAAGUGAAAUCCUAUAGCUUAACUAUAGAACUGCUUUGAAAACUGUUAAUCUAGAAUGUGGGAGAGGUAGGAUGGAAUUUCUGGUGUAGGGGUAAAAUCCGUAGAGAUCAGAAGGAAUACCGAUUGCGAAGGCGAUCUACUGGAACAUUAUUGACGCUGAGAUGCGAAAGCGUGGGGAGCAAACA